CUGUUUCAAAUUUUUUGCAUUGCAAACUAUGAAAAUGAAUCACUAUUUAAGAGAUGGAAACGCACAUGAGAGAACAAAGCACAGUGAAAAUGAUAGCGACUUCAUAAAAGCGAGCCAUGUUGCCAAGGAGAUAAAACCUCCAAUCAAAGGAGUCGCUAGUAGAUAUGUUUACACCAAGCUCCAAUACAUAUUCUAACUUACUCAUGAUUAGACUCCAAUGCUCCAAUUCAAGGGAAGUGUUGAAUGAAUGAAUGUAAAACAUGUUAUGGGAUAUGUUGCAGAAAUAUUUGUAUACCCUACUCUCUAGAGGAGCAGAAGAGGGAACAAGAGUAGUAAGCAUUGCAUGCAAGAAAUUCUGAGAUGAUCUUUUCUACUAUUGGGAAGACUUACUGAAAGAUGCCUAAAGUUACUCUAUCAAGACUUAGUACACCCCACAUCCGAUUCCCUGACCGAUGGCGUACUUUUGCUCCUUUUGGUAUUGUUGGAAAUUCUAAGAUAUGGAAACUUUGUAGGCAAUACUUCUUUUUCUAGAGUUAUAGAGAGCUCACAAAUAAACUAGGGUUUCUACAAACCCUAUAGGAACAAAUUAAGGUUAAAUAUGUGAGUUGAUAUCUCUUUGGGCUAGGCUUCUCUCUUCUUUCUUCAAAAUACAGUAAACCCUAGAAUAGGGUUUCACGUGCCACCACCUAUUUUUCUUUCACUAUGGGUAGCGUGAACUCCUGGCAAAAAUCAAGAGAGGGUGGCAUGGAAAAAUGAACGAAGAGAUAAUUUUGGGCGUGAGAGAGAGUGUUAUGUCAUAAACUGGGAAAGAGAUUCAAAUAGCAUUAUAUAGAAAGAAAUCUAUCUCCCAUUUGGAAUAGGACUUCUUAAGUAUUGCCUUAAUAAACUUUUGAGAUGAAUCCAUCUACAAUAAUUUCUGCCAAGUUACCUAACAGAUUUGUCAAUCUAUAAAUCAUGUAGUGGAUGGCAACCCCAACUCAAGGUAAGACGUUUGGGUGGCAGCCCACACAUAUGGGAGCACUGACAAAGAUGUUGAUUUGCAUAAUAUGGUUGCAUUUGGGAAUUCUACUAGAAAUAUGGACUCCAAAUUUCAAGCUUGUAAAAAUCGUAAAAAUUUAAAUCUUUUCUCGCAAAAUAUUUCUCUCAUAUACCAAAGGGGAUUGGUGUGCGAUUCCUGACUUGUGGCAAUUUUGAAUCCAAAUCGAUGGGACAAUAAUUCCAAUAAUGUAGGAAUCACAAUUCCUAUUUCAUCAUAUCACGAUUCCGUAAGCCAUUAAACGGUUUGUGGUCAUGUGCGAUUCCUGAAUGGUAGGAAACUCGAUUACAACAAUGAUGGGAUACUGAUUCCUACAAAUAGGAAUCACAUUUCCUAUUUUAUUAGCUCAAGAUUCUGAUUAUCAAGAAUCAUGCCUCUAAUAAUUUUCAUUGUACGAGAGGCAAUUCCAAGAUUAGGCAUCAUCUGGCAUACGUGAUUACUCAAUUUUGAUUCCUAAAGCAAAUUGGAAUCACAAGCAUCCAACAACUAUAGCUUUAACAACCUUAUCCUCCAUUUUAACCAUAAUUCACUCCAAAUUUCUCUUUUAUAAAAAUGUCUAUGCUCAAUUAACAUAAUCAACUUAAAAACUUUAGUUACGGGCUUGCCCUUAUGGUAAUUUGGCACAUUUUACAGCAAUAAUUUAAAUUGAAUUUUCCCUCUAUUUUGGGUGAGCAUGUUCAACCAAUCACAUGGUGCCACAUGGGAUAGGUGGUUAUGUGCACAAUUAAACAUGUUCUUAGGGUUUCAACCAUAAUAUCAAACCCUAUGGCCUUUGUAGAAGCUUUCCCACAUGUGUACUCAGCCACAAUCCAAACACAAAAUAUGUACCAAAAUCCCAUUUUUGAGUUUCCAAAAUACCACCAAAAAUCGCAACUUAAAAUCACAUUUUUAGAACAAGUAAUCAAAUGACAAAUAGAUUCCCAUAGGGGGGUGAAGUAACCCCUCA
rnacentral:lncRNA from 1 species